rnacentral:lncRNA from 1 species
GAGCGCCACCGCGGUGUUGGCGAGUGUGAAGAGAGAGGAGGAGCGUUUGCGGCCUCAGCGUCUGUCAACAGAACCCUCUUCACCCGUGGUUAAACCCUCCCUAACCCUGAGCUCGUGCUCCCCUCCCGGUGGACGCAGACCUGACCACAGAAGCCCUGCAGCACUCACUGGGGGCUUGAGGGAGCCCCUGAGUCCCCUCCACCCUCGCCGCCUUCUCCUGGGUACCCAGGAAACGUCUCCAAGGGAGGCUGUGACCCAGGACCCCGCCUCGACCUCACCUUCUUCUGUAAGGCGCAGUGAAAGACGAAGAUGAAGACCCCCUGGAAGGCGUUGAAGGUGGUGAAGAGAUAGGCCAUGACCACCGACUCCUUGUUGAUGAAGAGGAGGCCGAAAGCCCAGGCGCUGGCCGUCACCUGCCCUAGAGUCCCAGCCCACCUCAUACUGAGUCUU